ensembl:lncRNA
GAAAUUUUCAAUAAAAAUGUUAUAAAUGCAGCAGCUCCAUAGGCUAUUGUAACAGCGCAACGGAUCGUUAUUUAUUCAAGUUUGAAAUUCGCGUUUGUAAAAUAGUUUAAAGUCAGUGUCCUCAAAAAUUGCGCAUAAAUAAGUGUACAUAAGUGUUUGUAACACAUUUCAGGUGAAUUUCACUCUGUACAGCUACAACGGGGAAAAAGGCGAAACAUUUUUAUCAAAGGCGCAGCUAAAUAAAGCGACAAUAUUUCACAGUACAACAACCUUAUUAUACACGUUUUGUUUGUUUAUAUAUUCAUUUUUAUUCAUUCAUUUAAAUAUUUUUAUUUUUUUCCUGCAUGAACGUGAUUUCUUUUCUAUUUUUUUUAAACGGACGGCCUGACUCAGUUAAUUUUAACAAAGGAAAUAAGCAAACUUAAUUAACGUGAUGAAUUUUCUUUAUGGCUUUCAGUUAUUGAUACUUGUUUAUAAAGAGACGAAUUAAUGAUUAAAAACACAUUACAUAUUACAAUAAUACAAUAAUUAAAAUACUUAUGGGUCGAAACUGUGAAACUAAAUGAGAAUUAUUAUUUUUUUAAAAUCUGAUAAUUAUAGGAAACUUAUUCUGAAUAAAUAAAGCAUAAAUGUUUAUCACUCCGUCGCGUGCGUGACCCUGGUAGUCAAGGUGAUGAGGAUGACGUGUAGAGCGGCAGGUAUAAAAGCAGAAGCCAACAAUCGAAUUUGGUUUUCACAUGAGAGUGCUAGCAGGAGGUUAGUUUGAUAGCGCUGUGAAAACCUGUUUGCAAAACUUUGCAAACGACUCCCAAAGUUUCAAAGCUUUGAAGGAAGGACGAUCCAAGCACCCAAAAAUGAGCUCCAGUGGAGUACGGCGUGAGCAGUACCUGCUCUCCAUUGGUGUCACCCGUAUUCUUGAUGAGCGCUAUGCUGAGCUGGUGAGUUCUGUCAGCGUACGCCAGAUGUUCGUCACCAACCUGAGAAACCGUCCUUUGAGCCCCAGCCAUGUGGACUCGAUGGAAAAUCUGGUUCUCUCAUUAUACCACAACCUGGUUACGGGGACGAAGGCGUUUCCUUAUAUUGCCUUCAGGGGAUUCUUUAACAAACUGCAGCUGAGGACACCUUUCACCCAUGUGCCAGAGAGUCAGAGGGAGAACAACAUGCCAUCUCCUCCUACCGACUCACCAGCUGGUUUAAUGGUGCUGCCUGCAGGGUCCCACCUCCAUUCACGGUUGCUCACACCUCUACUUCCAGAGAAGGCAGAUCUUUCUGUCCUGAAGGCAGACCGGAGGAACUGCGUCUGCACCCUGCAUGUCGACGGCCGCACCAUCACUAGAGUCAUUUCCACUGUGUACUGCACAGAGGAGAGGGAAAUGACAAAUCGCUGGAGAGUUACAGACUACACCUCUGACGGCACAGUAAUCAUGUCGGUGCUCUGCCAGUUUCUGAAGAGGUUUACACAGGGUGCAAAGAGGAAGCCUGCAGAGGAGGAGAGCAGCAGCAGGAGCCCCCCUCCACCAAGGAAACGUCUCCGGCUGUGAUCAGUAAUGAAGCCUUUCCUGGACAUAUGGCAUAUGGAUGUUACAUAUGGAUGUUUCCUCGUGCUUUGGAGCAAACUUUCGAACUCCUCAUGUCUGUGCUGUGUCUGGAAAGGCUGGAAACACCUCUCCAUCUUACACAGAGACCAUCACCAUCACGGCUCGUCUGAGGAGUUAUUUCUGUACAUAUGUAUAUAGUUUUUUUAAAUUAUUGAGAUACACAGGUCAGC